UUUUUCACAGGUGAAAGACACCCGGAGCGGGGAGACCCUCACUCAAGUCUCGGGAUGACACGAUCCCCCAAGAACUCACACAAGACC
rnacentral:pre_miRNA from 14 species